rnacentral:lncRNA from 1 species
AAAUUCACCAUAGCUUCAUCUAGAAGCUAGAUCUAAAGGGAAAUACUCAAACCCUAACAUUAAAACCAUAAAACCCUCGAAUCUUAGGUUACUUAUCUUAGAUCCAAGCUUUUCUUCAUGCUAGGCUUGCAAGGGAGGGUUGCUUCAUCACCAACCAAGCUCUUCUCCACCAUGGCUUCACCAUUGGAGCACCUCAAGGAGGGAGAGAAAGAGAUCUAGAGAAAGAGAGAGCUCUCAUGUUGGCGUUGGAGAGGAGAGAAAUGAGGGCUAAACCUCAUUAUUCCAACCUACACACUCAUCCAAACACAAUUGCAUAUAACCCCCCACACCUCUCAAUGUUUAACACAAUGAUCCAGCCCAAACUGGGCAUUUUCGGGUGCUGGGACCGAUCCCAAGCAGUGAGAGACUGGUCCCCGAAGGUCCAAAAAUUCUGCAUUCCAGACUUAGCCAAAUUUUCAGCAUUUUCAACCUUCGGGUUUGUUUUUGCUCGUUUUCGCUCAUAUGACCUCCGAUUCGUUUCAAAUCGAACCGAGACUCUCCAAACAUCUUUUCGAACAUGUUUAAACCAUCUUUUCAUCCAUGCCCUUGCUAGAUUUAGUCCAUGGUCCAUCAUAGCCUUUCGGGCCCCGUUUUCGCGCCCUACGCACAUUGAAGCAACCGAAUGCUUCCGAACUUCACCGUAACCAUUCUAACGGCUUUCCAAGCUAACAUACACCAUAACUUCAUAAUUAUAGAAGUUCGGCAUGUUACAUUCUCCACCCCUUAAAAUAAGUUUCGUCCGCGAAACUUAGAUCCAAACCACAACUCCUCUCAUCAAACAGAUGAGGACAGAUCCACGCACUACUACUCGAGUGUCCACAGAUCUCGUGCUCUAUGCGCUCAUUUCGAUGUUCAUCUAUAAACAGAACCACAUCGUUUUGUGACGUCCUCUCUUCACGAGUCCGGAAUGCACAUCAAUUGGCUUUCCUAAGUCACUUUCUCAAGUAAUGGUGCAUUCCCCCAGUCUCGACGGAAAUAUUGACUUACGAGUCACCGCAACCACAAACACUCCAAUCCUUAUAGGGUUCAUUGUACCGAGAACUAACCUUUCCUCGACACCAACCCAAUUACCCCACAUGGGUGACACCGUCACCAAACGUCAUAUCCAACCGUGAAUUCACGACUUCGCCGGCGCCUAACAACACAAUUUAGCUACCGCAAUUGUGCACGACGAACCUUCUUCUCCGCCCAAUCCUAGAGCAACUCUUUCGUGUUAAGGAUUUGAUAGGUUGGCGAAUUUCGUAAAGUUGUUUGGAGUCUUGAAGAGUUGAUCGCAGAAGUUUUUGAGAAAAGAUUCAAAUUGGAGGACAAAGACUCAUUCGGAAAGAUCGACACCUAAGGUAUGAAGAANGCUGGGAGUGUGAAAACUACCACCACAUGGAGGAAAGAGCUACCACCCCGGUCGUCCGGUUAGUGUGUGCAGCUACCACAUGUUGAUUAAAGUAUCUAUGUGCAACAAAAGAAAAUUACCUCUCAGAAAGAGAAAAAGUAAGAAUAAUUUGCUCAAAGAGCUAUACAUCUUGGAGUUGAUAUAAGGUGGAAUGUUAAUAAAAGAUGCUCAAAGAGCCACUCCUGUCUCAAACGAUGUGCAUAACUCAAUUUAAUCAUGUUAUGUUAAUUUCACAAUUUUGAGAAAUAUUUAUUUCAUUUUCUUUAACAAAAUAUGAUGAUAAAAUGAUACAAUUUAUUUCUAGAUCUUGCAUGAUGUGUGGGAUAUUAUUUUAUAUGUAUCAAGAAUUCUCUUUGAUUUUUCGGUUUAAAAUUUUGAAAUUUUGAAUAUCCCUGAAAUUGAUUUUUCAAAAUUCAUUUAUAAAAUUUUAUUUAAGUUUUUUUUUUGGGAUGAAAAUAGGUUAUUUGUGAUGAUUACAUAUUAAGAAAUACCCUUACAUUUUUUUUUUGGAUUUUUCGGGCUGUAUUUAAAAUUUUUGAAAAUUUUCUGUCUCGGAGACCGGUCUCAGGGAAGAGAGACCGGUCCCUCCGCCCGAACCGAUAUAAGGGUGUAUGCAGUUUUUUCUUUUCACUUUACCAAUCUCGCUUAGGUUUUUUUCUCCAGAGCUUCUAAUAUUCCCAGGGUAUUUUUGCUUCAAAUCUUCAUCAAUUUACACUUGAUUUAGGUACGAUUCUCGGAUUUUAUUACAUUGUUAUCUUAUAAUCCAUAUUUAAGCCUUAUUUUCGGUUUUUGAGGAUUUGUUCUUAUUAUAUUGUUAGAUCUUUGCAUUUUUGUCCUGAUUUUAUCUCUCGACGUGUUAGUCAACUUUUUCAUGCAUUGUUUCAUAUUUUGAUACAUUUGUUUGGUUGUUGUUGCUAUGCUUUCUUCAUCAAGACCUAUUUUUUCAAAUUUUUCGAAAAUUGGGAUUUUACUGAUUUUUGAUGCUUGAUUUGUUUAUGAUUUAUAUGAUCAUGUGGCCCAUAGGAUUAUCUCAUAUUUAUAUACCAAUUUGCUGAAAUUUUCUUUUUAUGAAAUUUUAUAUGUAAAUUUCAUUAUGUUUAACAGGUAAUUUUCAAAAAUGUACUCGUGGGUUCUCGUGCUAGUUGUCCUUAUGGCUGGGGGUGGUCGCGGUAGCAAGCGACAGCGCGCCUCAGCUAAGAGGCCGGUUGAGCAACAACCGGAAGAUGAAGGGAGUGAGUAUGCCCCGGGUGAUGAAUCUGAGGAGGACGAGCAGGAUUGGGAGACUUUUGUUCCUGAAGUUUUGGCUAAGGAAAAGGACGCUGGGAAAGGCAAGGGAAAAGGAAAAGCUGUGGAUAAAGGCAAAGGAAAAGCAACUGAACGUCCCAGUCGUCGUAAGUCCGGGGGUGUUGAGAUUCGAGAACCGGGCUCUGAACACCACGUCGCAGUUUACAGGAUGUUCCAUCUAAUCGACGGUUAAUGUAUUCGUCGAAACACUGCAUUGGUGAGCGAGAUGUUGGGGUGGCCAGUAUUAUUAGUUGUGUGCCGGGUUUUCAGGAUUUGUUUGAACAGGGGAAUCUNUCCAUGUCUAAAUUCACCAUAGCUUCAUCUAGAAGCUAGAUCUAAAGGGAAAUACUCAAACCCUAACAUUAAAACCAUAAAACCCUCGAAUCUUAGGUUACUUAUCUUAGAUCCAAGCUUUUCUUCAUGCUAGGCUUGCAAGGGAGGGUUGCUUCAUCACCAACCAAGCUCUUCUCCACCAUGGCUUCACCAUUGGAGCACCUCAAGGAGGGAGAGAAAGAGAUCUAGAGAAAGAGAGAGCUCUCAUGUUGGCGUUGGAGAGGAGAGAAAUGAGGGCUAAACCUCAUUAUUCCAACCUACACACUCAUCCAAACACAAUUGCAUAUAACCCC